GGAAGGGUGACAGAGAGGUCGAUUGUGACGGUCUCGAAAACCGUUAUACGCUUUCCGCGUAUCGUGGGUUCGAAUCCCACCCCUUCCGCCA
rnacentral:tRNA from 1 species